GAUGAAGAACGUAGCGAAAUGCGAUAAGUAAUGUGAAUUGCAGAAUUCAGUGAAUCAUCGAAUCUUUGAACGCACAUUGCGACCGCCAGUAUUCUGGCGGGCAUGCCUGUUCGAGCGUCAUUUCAACCAUCAAGCCCUGCUUGCGUUGGGGUCCUGCGGCUGCCCGCAGGCCCUGAAAACCAGUGGCGGGCUCGCUAGUCACACCGAGCGCAGUAAUACAUCUCGCUUUGGGCGUGCGGCGGGUUCUUGCCGUUAAACACCCCCUUUUUACCAAGGUUGACCUCGGAUCAGGUAGGAAUACCCGCUGAACUUAAGCAUAUCAAUAAGCGGAGGA
rnacentral:misc_RNA from 1 species